rnacentral:rRNA from 1 species
UGGCGAACGGGUGAGUAACGCGUGAGGAACCUGCCUCAAAGAGGGGGACAACAGUUGAAACGACUGCUAAUACCGCAUAAGCCCACGGGUCGGCAUCGACCUGAGGGAAAAGGAGCAAUCCGCUUUGAGAUGGCCUCGCGUCCGAUUAGCUAGUUGGUGAGGUAACGGCCCACCAAGGCGACGAUCGGUAGCCGGACUGAGAGGUUGAACGGCCACAUUGGGACUGAGACACGGCCCAG